UUGACUAAUGCUCAGCACAGUUUUACAUUUAAGUCUGCUUGAUUAUUUUCCCUUGGAGCAGACAAGUAUAUGGUAUGAUCUCAUCCUAUUGUCAGCGUAAUGUGUCUUUGGGGACUCUGACCUUGUUCACAUUACAAUGACAUCAUCUUUUCUACAGACUGUAAAUCACAACCGUUGACUCCUUGCUUUACUAAUAAAACCUGCAGAGAUAGUCUGCAGCUACAACGUGCUUGUUUGAAAUUGUUAGACGGCAAUGCAAUUUAUUUAUUUUUAACUACUUGAGGCAACAUUUUUCUGAAGCUAGUAAUGAGGGAGCUGUACAGUCUCAUUUAACAUUCCUAUCUUAUUUUUGCGGAGUUCUAACCUGGAUUAUUUUUUUUUAUUCUAUGAUCUAAAUAGAUUUAUCAGCACAGUCUGAAACAUAAGAGCCAAGAGAAAAAGUAUUUUCCCUUCGGAGUCACCUUUUAAAUUUCCAUCCUAGCAAAGUACUCAAAAUGUAUCCAUUUACCUUCUGCAACUUGCAGUACCCUGCAUUCAUCGAAAAAGCAGGCUUCCAGCUACCACUCCAUCGUUCCAUUGAGGAUCUCAAGAACAGUUGUAGAGAAUAAAUCAAAGAAAAGAGUUGUACUCUAGCCCACAUGCAGACACUUCUGCAGAGGCAGGAAGUAACUUCGUCUAAAAGAAAAAAGAUAGGACUCAUUGAUACGCAUCUAAAUAAACAUUUCCUCAUAUAACCCAAACAUCACUGGAGCAGGUCAGUGCAUCAGUCAUCAUUGCACUCUGCUAGUCUAGUGCUGUAGAUGAAAAGCUUUUAAAAUUCAUGCAACUUCUAAUUUGCCUUGGGCUGGAAAACCUUCAAUUACUCUCACUCCUGAGUUUCCAUUUGGAUGUGCUCUGGUUAACCCAUUCUCUCCAUUUUUGCAGGUGGCAACUGUGCCAAUGAUUUUGUGCACCCGUUACGAACAGAUCAAUUUACACCAGAGCAAUUAUCUAGCCAUGGCCUCAACCAUCCACUGUUUUAUUGCUGUUAGUGAGGCAUGAAACCAGUUUUUCAAAGAGGUAUUGCAAUGGGAUUCACCACAUUCUCUUCUAUUUUUCCUGUUUAAUUUUAAACUUUUGUUUUUGUUUUGCUUAACAAUAUAGGUCGAUGAAAAUCUUUGUAAAAGGCCUGAGAAAUGGGUACAGGGUAAAGAUUACAUGGCCGUAUUUAUGAACCCUCAACAUCUUUGCUGGGAUAAGCGGUGGAAGCAAUUUAAGGAGCAAACUGCUGCUUAAAAUGGCUUGCUGCAUUUUUGUUACUGGUAAUUAAUGCAGAUUACCCAGUAGCUAGUGCAGCUUUUGAUAAUGGAUUAAUCCAUGAAAGCUGAGGUCUUCUCUUGAAGUCCUGCUGCAGCUGAAGACUCAGGAGCAACUCAGCCCAUGAGUCUGUAGUCAGUAGCGCAAGGCUUGUGUGGCUCUGCUCUGCUCCCCCAUACAACACACCUCUUAAAGGAACAGUACAUACAGAAAAUCGUCUUAAAAAUGUAUGUGACGUGGAACCACAAUGACCUGUUUUAAUCCUCUAAAUCAAACCCAAGCAAUAAUGGCAUAAGUGACCAGGCUUAAAAAAACUAAUAAUCGCAAACAAUGACAAAACAGUUAACUUGGGUCAAAGUGGAGCUAGUAAAAUGGUUUGAAUUCACAUGAUUACAUAUUGCACUCAGGGAAAGCAAUUGGCAGCUGCAUGCACUGAAGAAUUGUUUCUUACCUGGUUUAGUAUGUUAUCAAACAAUUUAGAUGUGUAGAAUGUGAUUUUUUUUCUUUAAAAUGUAUACAUGCACCAGUAGAGGGCAUGCACAUCUAAUUAAAUGGAGAGAGACGCCUACUAAUUAAUCUCACAAGUAGGUGGAACUAUACCUAUAUCCACAACGUUCCCAAGCAAAGUGUCCAUUCAGUGGUAGCAUGAAAACAACUCACCCCAGCA